rnacentral:rRNA from 1 species
CUCGUAAUUGGAUUCUGUUUUUUGAAAUCGGUCGUAACCUCGGGUUUCUGUACCACGUUUCUUAAAUGCAUCCUCACGGUUCUGAUAUCUGGUAUUAAUUUAUCGGAUUUUUGGUCCUUGUCAUUUACUGUGAGCAAAAUGCAGUGUUCAAAGCAGGCUUAGGCCAUGAGUACAUUAGCAUGGAAUAGUAAGAGAGGAGCUUGGUCUAUUUUGUUGGUUUAGCUUCCAAGGCAAUGAUUAAUAUGGAUAGAUGGGGGUAUUCAUAUUCUUUUGUCAAAGGUUAAAUUCUUGUAUUGACGGAACACCAACUAAUGCCAGAGCAUUUACCUACGAUGUUUUCUUUAAUCAUGAACGAGUGUUACGGGAUCGCCAUGAUUAGAUACCGACAAAUUCUUAACCAUAACCUAUGCCGACUAUGGAUUGGUGGAAUAUCUCAAAUGUCCAUCAGAACCUUAUGAGAAAUCAAAGUCUUUGGAUUCCUUUUGGAGUAUGGUCGCAAGGCUGAAACUUAAAAAAAUUGACGGAAGGGCACCCCCCCAACUGGAGCCUGCGGCUGCAUUUGACUCAACACAGGAAAACUUACCACGUCCAGACAUAGUGAGGAUUGACAGAUUGAGAGCUCUUUCUUGAUUCUAUGGGUGGUGGUGCAUGGCCGUUCUUAGUUGGUGGAGUGAUUUGUCUGGUUAAUUCCGUUAACCAACCAUACCCCCGCCUGCUCACUAGAUAAUAGAAUACUAUGU